UACCAGCUCUCCGAGUUGUAGGGACGAUUAUUGGGCUUAAAGCGUCCGUAGCUGGCUUAGCAAGUCUCCUGUUAAAUUCAGCGACCUAAUCGUUGAGCCGCGGGAGAUACUACUAGGCUAGGAGGCGGGAGAGGUCGACGGUACUUUCGGGGUAGGGGUGAAAUCCUAUAAUCCCGGGAGGACCACCAGUGGCGAAGGCUGUCGACUAGAACGCGCUCGACGGUGAGGGACGAAAGCUGGGGGUAGCGAACCGGAUUAGAUACCCGGGUAGUCCCAGCUGUAAACUAUGCGGGCUAGGUGUUGGGGUGGCUACGGGCCACUUCAGUGCCGCAGGAAAGCCAUUAAGCCCGCCGCCUGGGGAGUACGGCCGCAAGGCUGAAACUUAAGGAAUUGGCGGGGAGCACCACAAGGCGUGAAGCUUGCGGUUC
rnacentral:rRNA from 1 species